rnacentral:lncRNA from 1 species
GUGUAAUUUUCCGUAAUAAGAAACGUUAUAUGGAUUUUUCGAUGCCCCAUUUUCUGUUUCUCCCGCAUGCCAACUUCUACACCAUUAAUAUUAGUGCUUUUGAUUCUAACAUGAUAACAGUCUAAUAUACUCAUAAGAAAUAAAACACAUUUACUGUUUCUGUGAGAUCUUCAACAAAAUAUCGUAUAGUGAGCAAUCUCAAGACGACUUACCCUUUUGGUGUUACUAAUAUAAUGCAUGUCAAUUAUCAUUUUUAUUAUCAUUUAUCAUCCAUGAUUUUGUUCGGGUCAGAUUUUCUGUCAUUUUUUUACAGCACAGAAAACCAAUGAUAUUUAUAAAAUAAUACCAAAAAUUAAGGUACACGAAGAAGUAAACUUCCUAACUGAACAAUUCAUUCAAUUUAUUUAUGUUGGGUAAAUAAUGGUAUGUCGCUAAUAUUAACAAUGAUACAACUUUAAUAAAAGAACAAAGUUCCUAUCAAGUUCCUCUACGUAGUACGGUUUUUAUCUAACAAAAGGCAAUAGCAUACAAUAUUUUUAUACACCCGUAAAAAUUUGACGGGACGUAUUAUGUAUACAAAUGUCCGGCGUCCGUCUGUCCUUCGUAAACAUGGUACAGCAUAUUUAUACAUCACGUUGCGGAGGAUAUAAUGUUUUGACCCGUU